rnacentral:rRNA from 1 species
GACGAACGCUGGCGGCGUGCUUAACACAUGCAAGUCGAACGGAAAGGCCCUGCUUUUGUGGGGUGCUCGAGUGGCGAACGGGUGAGUAACACGUGAGUAACCUGCCCUUGACUUUGGGAUAACUUCAGGAAACUGGGGCUAAUACCGGAUAGGAGCUCCUGCUGCAUGGUGGGGGUUGGAAAGUUUCGGCGGUUGGGGAUGGACUCGCGGCUUAUCAGCUUGUUGGUGGGGUAGUGGCUUACCAAGGCUUCGACGGGUAGCCGGCCUGAGAGGGUGACCGGCCACAUGGGGACUGAGAGACGGCCCAGACGCCUACGGGAGGCAGCAGGGGGGAAUAUGGCACAAUGGGCGGAAGCCUGAUGCAGCAACGCCGCGUGCGGGAUGACGGCCUUCGGGUGGUAAACCGCUUUCGCCUGUGACGAAGCGUGAGUGACGGUAAUGGGUAAAGAAGCACCGGCUAACUACGUG